rnacentral:rRNA from 1 species
CUGCAGCCCGAGUGGUGAUCGAUUUUAUUGAGCCUAAAGCGUCCGUAGCCGGACUAGUAAACCCUUGGGUAAAUUGGGCAGCUUAACUGUCCAACUUCCGAGAGGACUGCUAGACUUGGGACCGGGAGAGGUCAGAGGUACUCCAGGGGUAGGGGCUAAAUCCGAUAUGGUUUCGUGCCAUUCGGUUAGCAUUCCUGUAAUCCUUGGGGGACCACCAGUGGCGAAGGCGUCUGACUAGAACGGAUCCGACGGUAAGGGACGAAACCCUGGGGCGCAAACCGGAUUAGAUACCCGAGUAGUCC